rnacentral:rRNA from 1 species
UACGUAGGGUGCAAGCGUUGUCCGGAAUUAUUGGGCGUAAAGAGCGUGUAGGCGGCCAUACAGGUCCGUUGUGAAAACUGGAGGCUUAACCUCCAGACGUCGAUGGAAACCGUAUGGCUAGAGUCCGGAAGAGGAGAGUGGAAUUCCUGGUGUAGCGGUGAAAUGCGCAGAUAUCAGGAAGAACACCCGUGGCGAAGGCGGCUCUCUGGGACGGUACUGACGCUGAGACGCGAAAGCGUGGGGAGCGAACAGG